rnacentral:rRNA from 1 species
ACAUGUUCCCGACGACCUCAGAGAUGGGGUUUCCCUUCGGGGCGGGUUCACAGGUGGUGCAUGGUCGUCGUCAGCUCGUGUCGUGAGAUGUUGGGUUAAGUCCCGCAACGAGCGCAACCCUCGCCCCGUGUUGCCAGCGCGUCAUGGCGGGAACUCACGGGGGACCGCCGGGGUUAACCCGGAGGAAGGCGGGGAUGACGUCAGAUCAUCAUGCCCCUUACGUCCAGGGCUUCACGCAUGCUACAAUGGCCGGUACAACGGGAUGCGACAUGGCGACAUGGAGCGGAUCCCUGAAAACCGGUCUCAGUUCGGAUCGCAGUCUGCAACUCGACUGCGUGAAGGCGGAGUCGCUAGUAAUCGCGAAUCAGCAACGUCGCGGUGAAUGCGUUCCCGGGCCUUGUACACACCGCCCGUCAAGUCAUGAAAGUGGGCAGCACCCGAAGCCGGUGGCCUAACCCUUGUGGGGGGAGCCGUCUAAGGUGAGGCUCGUGAUUGGGACUAAGUCGUAACAAGGUAGCCGUACCGGAAGGUGCGGCUGGAUCACCUCCUUUCUACGGAG